rnacentral:rRNA from 1 species
AUUGAACGCUGGCGGCAUGCCUUACACAUGCAAGUCGAACGGUAACAGGUCUUCGGAUGCUGACGAGUGGCGAACGGGUGAGUAAUACAUCGGAACGUGCCCGAGAGUGGGGGAUAACGGAGCGAAAGCUUUGCUAAUACCGCAUACGAUCUCAGGAUGAAAGCAGGGGACCGCAAGGCUUUGCGCUCACGGAGCGGCCGAUGGCAGAUUAGGUAGUUGGUGAGGUAAAGGCUUACCAAGGCGACGAUCUGUAGCGGGUCUGAGAGGAUGAUCCGCCACACUGGAACUGAGACACGGUCCAGACUCCUACGGGAGGCAGCAGUGGGGAAUUUUGGACAAUGGGCGCAAGCCUGAUCCAGCCAUGCCGCGUGAGUGAAGAAGGCCU